UCAAUUCUACGGGUCAAAAAUGAAAAACACGCGGAUCCUAUUGCGGGUCAUAACAAAAAACGGGUCACUCUGAUUUUCUCUCAACUCUCUCUCCAUCUUUCUUCUGCGACGACUGCGCCCUAAUCUGGAGAUUUGAUUUCAACAGCCGAUCAUCAGAACAAUCAUGUUAGGAGAUGUGCUAUGGUAGUGGAAAAGAAUGGAAGAGUGAGAAGACUGCCAUGUGUAGCAGAACAAUCAUGUUCCAGGCCAUCAUUUAGAAAAGUGCUCUGGUAGUUUAGGAGAUGAGUUUGGGCCAUGGUGAUAGAAUUGAAGAUCUCUAGCAUUAUUUUGGGAGACAUCUAGUUAUGGGUAUUUUGACAAGGCACGAGUUCAGGCCAGAACACGCCCUGGCUUUGCAUCCGCUAAGGAAGCUCGUUGGAAGAAACUGAAGUGGUUGGAGCUAACUAUUUCCCCCUGAGCAGAAAGCUGCAAGAAAUUUUCAUCAAUCCACAUACACUAGUUUACGUUAGACUUUAUCAUCACCUGCACAGAACUCUAUGAAGUUACCAAGCCUCCCCAGCUCAUCUUGGAAACUGUUGGAUUGUCUAUUUAAUGUUGCUGGUGAUGGCUAUCCUGCUUAGCGUGGGUCGUAUCAAUGACUUCCUGAUAAGUCAUAUUCUAGGCCUUGGUUACGGGUUAGUAUGAUGUGCUUAAUUGAUUAUAUUUGCAAAACAGUUGUUUAAAGUGUGCAGGUUAAGCAUUCUAGCCAGUAGGGAAGUUUCGGAAUGUUCAGGUGAAG